UUUUGUGUACGCACGACCACGUACGAUAAUUUGGACGGCCGAUUUGUUGAUGCUUUUGACAAGACGAGAAUUGGUUCUUCGACAAGAAACGGUGACUUCUAUAAAUGGGAUCGCUAUAGUGGCCGGAGCCUGCAGCAUUCACAAAUUGAUGGUUGUUUCGGAUGUAAAAGGACUAUAUACUACUUACUCACCACAGCCCAUGAAAUUGGACACUUGCUUGGAUCACAUCAUGACGGUGACAAAACAUCAAAGGCCUGCCAAGAUAAUAAUUAUAUAAUGGCCACCGAUAUGGCAUACGCGAAGCCUUUCUACUCUUACUGUACCAAAGCUGCUAUUAAUGAAUUUUUGCGACGUACGGAUGGUGCUCGUUUUCUUGCUACAGUGACCAGUCGUCUUCAUUUGUCCUUGAUGAAAAGGAUGGUACACCCUGCUACGAAAAAG